UCUGGUGAUUUAAUUAAAGGGUCACACCUCUUCCCAUUCCGAACAGAGAAGUUAAGACUUUAAUCACCGAUGGUACUACGUGGGCAACUGCGUGGAAGAGUAGGUUUCGCCAGAU
rnacentral:rRNA from 1 species